rnacentral:rRNA from 1 species
UACAGAGGUCUCAAGCGUUGUUCGGAUUCAUUGGGCGUAAAGGGUGCGUAGGCGGCGCGGUAAGUCGGGUGUGAAAUUUCGGAGCUUAACUCCGAAACUGCAUUCGAUACUGCCGUGCUUGAGGACUGGAGAGGAGACUGGAAUUUACGGUGUAGCAGUGAAAUGCGUAGAGAUCGUAAGGAAGACCAGUGGCGAAGGCGGGUCUCUGGACAGUUCCUGACGCUGAGGCACGAAGGCCAGGGGAGCAAACAGG